UCUUCAGUAGUAUAGUGGUCAGUAUCCCCGCCUGUCACGCGGGAGACCGGGGUUCGAUUCCCCGCUGGAGAG
rfam:Trichomalopsis sarcophagae strain Alberta scaffold1081, whole genome shotgun sequence.